rnacentral:rRNA from 1 species
CAGUCGCCGCGGGAAUACGAAGGGGGCUAGCGUUGUUCGGAAUUACUGGGCGUAAAGCGUGCGUAGGUGGUGGUUUAAGUCCGUUGUGAAAGCCCUGGGCUCAACCUGGGAAUUGCAGUGGAUACUGGGUCACUAGAGUGUGGUAGAGGAUAGUGGAAUUUCCGGUGUAGCAGUGAAAUGCGUAGAGAUCGGAAGGAACAUCUGUGGCGAAGGCGACUAUCUGGGCCAACACUGACACUGAGGCACGAAAGCGUGGGGAGCAAACAGGAUUAGAUACCCCUGUAGUCCCUGUCUCUUAUAC